UACAGAGGGGGCAAGCGUUGUUCGGAAUUACUGGGCGUAAAGGGCGCGUAGGCGGCCUUCUAAGUCGAACGUGAAAUCCCCGGGCUCAACCCGGGAACUGCGUCCGAUACUGGAAGGCUUGAAUCCGGGAGAGGGAUGCGGAAUUCCAGGUGUAGCGGUGAAAUGCGUAGAUAUCUGGAGGAACACCGGUGGCGAAGACGGCAUCCUGGACCGGCAUUGACGCUGAGGCGCGAAAGCCAGGGGAGCAAACGGG
rnacentral:rRNA from 1 species